GAGGUCACAAGGUUUUUCUAUUAUUUGACCUACUGACCUAGUUUUUGACGGCACGUGACCCACUUUCGAACUUGACCUAGAUAUCAUCAAGGUGAACAUUCUGACUAAUUUUCAUGAAGAUCUCAUGAAAUAUAUGGCCUCUAAAGAGGUCACAAGGUUUUUCUAUUUUUAGACCUACUGACCUAGUUUUUGACUGCACAUGACCCAGUU